rnacentral:pre_miRNA from 15 species
UGUUGAAGUAUUGCAAAAGUAAAGCAUAAUCACCUUAUGUAUGUGUUGGUGCUAUAUCUUCUAGUUUUUAGAAGUUAUACCAUCGUUAAGCAUGCCACGUGUUGAGUGCGACAA